GAUGAACGCUGGCGGCGUGCCUAAUACAUGCAAGUCGAGCGAACAGAUGAGGAGCUUGCUCCUCUGACGUUAGCGGCGGACGGGUGCGUAACACGUGGAUAACCUACCUAUAAGACUGGGAUAACUUCGGGAAACCGGAGCUAAUACCGGAUAAUAUAUUGAACCGCAUGGUUCAAUAGUGAAAGACGGUUUUGCUGUCACUUAUAGAUGGAUCCGCGCCGCAUUAGCUAGUUGGUAAGGUAACGGCUUACCAAGGCAACGAUGCGUAGCCGACCUGAGAGGGUGAUCGGCCACACUAGAACUGAGACACGGUCCAGACUCCUACGGGAGGCAGCAGUAGGGAAUCGUCCGCAAUGGGCGAAAGCCUGACGGAGCAACGCCGCGUGAGUGAUGAAGGUCUUCGGAUCGUAAAACUCUGUUAUGAGGGAAGAACAAAUGUGUAAGUAACUAUGCACGUCUUGACGGUACCUAAUCAGAAAGCCACGGCUAACUACGUG
rnacentral:rRNA from 1 species